UACGGAGGGUGCGAGCGUUAUCCGGAAUCACUGGGCGUAAAGGGCGCGUAGGUGGUUUGUUAAGUCCGUUGUCAAAGUCCGGGGCUCAACCCCGGGGUGGCAGUGGGUACUGGCAGGCUGGACGGCUGGAGAGGCGAGUGGAAUUACCAGUGUAGCGGUGGAAUGCGUAGAUACUGGUAGGAACACCCAUGGCGAAGGCAGCUCGCUGGACAGCUCGUGACGCUGAGGCGCGAAAGUGUGGGGAGCAAACCGGAUUAGAAACCCCUGUAGUCC
rnacentral:rRNA from 1 species